UGGGGGAUAUUGCGCAAUGGGGGAAACCCUGACGCAGCAAUGCCGCGUGAAGGAUGAAGGUCUUCGGAUCGUAAACUUUUGUCUUCAGGGACGAUAAUGACGGUACCUGAGGAGGAAGCCACGGCUAACUACGUGCCAGCAGCCGCGGUAAUACGUAGGUGGCAAGCGUUGUCCGGAUUUACUGGGUGUAAAGGGCGUGUAGGCGGGAUGGCAGGUCAGAUGUGAAAUACCUAGGCUUAACCUGGGGGCUGCAUUUGAAACCACCGUUCUUGAGUGUCGGAGAGGAAAGCGGAAUUCCUAGUGUAGCGGUGAAAUGCGUAGAUAUUAGGAGGAACACCAGUGGCGAAGGCGGCUUUCUGGACGAUAACUGACGCUGAGGCGCGAAAGCGUGGGUAGCAAACAGG
rnacentral:rRNA from 2 species